GAUGAACGCUGGCUACAGGCUUAACACAUGCAAGUCGAGGGGAAACGACGGGGAAGCUUGCUUCCCCGGGCGUCGACCGGCGCACGGGUGAGUAACGCGUAUCCAACCUGCCUCUGACUGAGGGAUAACCCGUCGAAAGUCGGCCUAAUACCUCAUGGCAUCGUCUGCGGGCAUCCAACGACGAUUAAAGAUUUCAUCGGUCAGAGAUGGGGAUGCGUCUGAUUAGCUUGUUGGCGGGGUAACGGCCCACCAAGGCGACGAUCAGUAGGGGUUCUGAGAGGAAGGUCCCCAACAUUGGAACGGAGACACGGUCCAAACUCCUACGGGAGGAAGCAGUGAGGAAGAUUGGUAAAUGGGCGAGAGCCUGAACCAGCCAAGUAGCGUGAAGGAUGACGGCCCUUUGGGUUGUAAACUGCUUUUAUGCGGGGAUAAAGUGAGGGACGUGUCCUUCAUGGCAGGAACCGAAUGAAUAGGACCGGCUAAUUCCGUG
rnacentral:rRNA from 1 species